UCCCUGGUGGUCCAGUGGUUAAGACUCCACUCUCCCAAAGCAGGGGACCCAGGUUUGAUCUCUGGUCAGGGAA
rnacentral:tRNA from 1 species